rnacentral:tRNA from 1 species
GUCCCUGUAGCACAAUGGAUAGCGUGUUGGACUUCUAAUCCAAAGGUCGUGGAUUUGAAUCCCACUUGGGAUG